UUUUAAUGUUUGUCUAGGCACACCUACCUGUAUCUACUGUGUAGGAUUCUUGUGUUGUGUUGUUCUCAUGCCAUCAACCUGCCAGUUGUCAUGACC